rnacentral:rRNA from 1 species
CCUACGGGAGGCUGCAGUGAGGAAUAUUGGUCAAUGGCCGCAGGGCUGAACCAGCCAAGUCGCGGGAGGGAUGACGGUCCUAUGGAUUGUAAACCUCUUUUGUCAGGGAGCAAAGGGCGCCACGUGUGGCGCUUUGCGAGUACCUGAAGAAAAAGCAUCGGCUAACUCCGUGCCAGCAGCCGCGGUAAUACGGAGGAUGCGAGCGUUAUCCGGAUUUAUUGGGUUUAAAGGGUGCGCAGGCGGAAUGUCAAGUCAGCGGUAAAAUUUCGGGGCUCAACCCCGUCGUGCCGUUGAUACUGGCGUUCUUGAGUGAGCGAGAAGUAUGCGGAAUGCGUGGUGUAGCGGUGAAAUGCAUAGAUAUCACGCAGAACUCCGAUUGCGAAGGCAGCAUACCGGCGCUCAACUGACGCUCAUGCACGAAAGCGUGGGUAUCGAACAGGAUUAGAUACCCUUGUAGUC